UACGUAGGGGGCAAGCGUUGUCCGGAUUUAUUGGGCGUAAAGAGCGUGUAGGCGGCUUGGUAGGUCCGCUGUGAAAACUCGAGGCUCAACCUCGAGAUGUCGGCGGAAACCACUUGGCUAGAGUCCGGAAGAGGAGAGUGGAAUUCCUGGUGUAGCGGUGAAAUGCGCAGAUAUCAGGAAGAACACCUAUGGCGAAGGCAGCUCUCUGGGCCGAUACUGACGCUGAGGAGCGAAAGCGUGGGGAGCGAACAGG
rnacentral:rRNA from 1 species